rnacentral:misc_RNA from 1 species
AAGCUGGGGAAAUGUUGGCCAGUUUGAGAACACCUUUAGUCCCUGCCUCACUUCUUCAUCAGAUAAAAUAUCGAAGGACCCAAAACUUACACCCUCCUCCCUUAAGGCAUUUACAACUUUCGAACUAAAACCACAUCUGGGAGCAUCUGGGCUACCUUUCAUGAAAAGCAUUACUGGUGAAGAAGCAAUCAAACUCCUUAGACGAUCUUCGAGAGUCUCUUUUGAAACAAUCCCCUUCUCAACCAAAAGCCUUUUAAGCUCUCCACUUUUCUGCAUCUCCAGGACAAUGUCUGAUCCACCAAUCAGUUCACCUUUAAUAUAUAGUUGAGGGAAACUCGACCAAUUUGAAUAAACUUUAAGACCUUGUCGAACUUCAUCAUCGGAAAGAAUGUUGAAACUCUCAAAAUUGACCUUUUCUUCUUUAAGGAUUUCAACUACCUUCCCACUGAAACCGCACUUGGGUUCAUCAGGAUUUCCUUUCAUGAACAACAUAACUGGGCUUGAAUUAAUCAGGCUUUUAAGACGGGAUGUCAAGGUUGCACUUAAGCCAGUGGAUUCUGAGACUCCACCCUUUCCACUUCCACUGUCACUCUGUUUCUGCUCAUCAGAAUGAUUAGCAUCAAUUCCAUGAUCUCUGAAAACAUCUUUUAGUUCACCACUUUCAUGCAUUGCAAUUGCUAUGUCAGAUCCUCCAAGUAGCUCUCCUUUGCAAUAGAGCUGAGGAAAAGUUGGCCAGUUAGAAAACUUCUUCAACCCCUCACGUACCUCAUUAUCAGAUAGGAUGUCAAAACUUCCAAAUUUCACAUUUUCAUCCUUCAAAAUAUCUACAACUUUCCGGCUAAACCCACAUCUAGGUGCUUCAGGACUCCCCUUCAUAAAUAGCAUCACUGGAUGGGAGUUGAUCAGCUGUUGCAGUUGCUUCACUAAUGCAUCACUGAGGCCAGGUUGAACUUGAUUUGCCACUUGGGAAGAGCCAUUUUCUUUUGCCAACUCUUUAACUGUUUCAAGAACACUGGGUCCAGCUGCCAUUCCAAGGCUGGCAGGGGCUGCAGGUUCUCCAGGAUUAACAGAUCCAGCUACUUUAGCAAUUUUGUUGGCCAAACUGGAGGGAUCUGCGCCUUCCAAUACAUCAACUUUCUUGCCAUCCUUGAAGAAAACAAAGAAAGGCACAGCAGAAACAGAAUAUUCCUCCGAUAUCUCUGGUAGCUCCUCAGCCUCCACCCUGAGGAAGUGGGCGUUGGGGAAAUCGGUGGAGAGGUGGGAGAAGACUUGGUCCAUGUGCUUGGAGGCGUCGCACCAUGAAGCCCAGAAGUGAACGAUUACCGGUGCGCCACUGCUGCGCAAGUCAUCCAGCUCCGACUUAGAUUGCACUUCCUUCACUGAACCCCCCAUUAUUCUCUGUGGUUCGUUCUCUCACUUCUCUGGAAUACCCUUACCCUACUCUCAAAACCACUCUCUCGAGAAAGAGAAACAGGUUUCUCUCUUUUCCUUUCAUCGUGCGGUGGUUUCUUUUUGUUGAGGAAUCAUAGGACCUCUUGUGACACACAGAACAUCAGCAUCAAUCAC